rnacentral:rRNA from 1 species
CAAGUCGAGCGGUAACAGAGAGUAGCUUGCUACUUUGCUGACGAGCGGCGGACGGGUGAGUAAUGCUUGGGGAUCUGCCCGGUCGAGGGGGAUAACCGUUGGAAACGACGGCUAAUACCGCAUACGCCCUACGGGGGAAAGCAGGGGACCUUCGGGCCUUGCGCGAUUGGAUGAACCCAAGUGAGAUUAGCUUGUUGGUGAGGUAACGGCUCACCAAGGCGACGAUCUCUAGCUGGUCUGAGAGGAUGACCAGUCACACUGGGACUGAGACACGGCCCAGACUCCUACGGGAGGCAGCAGUGGGGAAUAUUGCACAAUGGGGGAAACCCUGAUGCAGCCAUGCCGCGUGUGUGAAGAAGGCCUUCGGGUUGUAAAGCACUUUCAGUGGUGAGGAAAGGAGGUUGGCUAAUACCUGACCUCUGUGACGUUAACCACAGAAGAAGCACCGGCUAACUCCGUGCCAGC